GAUGAAACUCGAAAUGCUUUUUCAGGCAUGGAUCCUACAACAGUUGCAGUAUUGAAAGCUGCUAAUAUUAGCACAGAAUUGCUUCCCAGUCUGUCUAAGGUGGACUUGCGUGACCUCUUUCCGGGGCCUGAGCACUUUUUCCGAAGGAAAGCCAUUUGGAGGACCACUCAUGGUGAAAAUGAGUGUGAAGAACUGGAGCAGCCUCACCCAGGCACCUCCUCUGGAACUUAUGAUGGUGCCACAAUUCCAACUACCCCAAACGCUUUGUCCACUCCUUCUUCCUUCCCUGCACCUGUCCCCUCUUCAAAGCCAGGAGACAGUGCCAGCAGAACUGUACAGCUUCAAAGUCCACAAUAUGUUGUAUACACAGACACAGAGCUGGAGCUGUCAAGAACCACCUUUUUUGAAAAACAGCGUGCUGGACAAGAAGAAGACUUCACACUCUCCAAAGAGCUUCGCUGUCGCAUAAUAAGGAACACAGUAACAAGCAUGA